GCGAGCGGAUCCCUUCGGGGUGAAGCUCGUGGAACGAGCGGCGGACGGGUGAGUAACACGUGGGCAACCUGCCUGUAAGAUCGGAAUAACCCCGGGAAACCGGGGCUAAUGCCGGGUAAUACUUUUCUUCGCAUGAAGAUGAGUUGAAAGAUGGCUUCUCGCUAUCACUUACAGAUGGGCCCGCGGCGCAUUAGCUAGUUGGUGAGGUAACGGCUCACCAAGGCAACGAUGCGUAGCCGACCUGAGAGGGUGAUCGGCCACACUGGGACUGAGACACGGCCCAGACUCCUACGGGAGGCAGCAGUAGGGAAUCUUCCGCAAUGGACGAAAGUCUGACGGAGCAACGCCGCGUGAACGAUGAAGGUCUUCGGAUCGUAAAGUUCUGUUGUCAGGGAAGAACAAGUACCGUGCGAAUAGAGCGGUACCUUGACGGUACCUGACGAGGAAGCCCCGGCUAACUACGUGCCAGCAGCCGCGGUAAUACGUAGGGGGCAAGCGUUGUCCGGAAUUAUUGGGCGUAAAGCGCGCGCAGGCGGUUCCUUAAGUCUGAUGUGAAAGCCCACGGCUCAACCGUGGAGGGUCAUUGGAAACUGGGGAACUUGAGGACAGAAGAGGAGAGUGGAAUUCCACGUGUAGCGGUGAAAUGCGUAGAUAUGUGGAGGAACACCAGUGGCGAAAGCGACUCUCUGGUCUGUUUCUGACGCUGAAGUGCGAAAGCGUGGGUAGCAAACAGGAUUAGAUACCCUGGUAGUCCACGCCGUAAACGAUGAGUGCUAAGUGUUAAGGGGCUUCCACCCCUAAUGCUGAAGUUACGCAUUAGCACUCCGCCUGGGGAGUACGCCCGCAAGCUGAAACUCCAAGGAAUGAC
rnacentral:rRNA from 1 species